GAUGAACGCUGACAGAAUGCUUAACACAUGCAAGUCGAUGGGGAAGUGGUGCUUGCACCAUGGCAACCAUGGCGGACGGGUGAGUAACGCGUAAGGGACUUACCUGCAGGACUGGGAUAACAGGGGGAAACUCCUGACAAGACCGGAUAAUGUCAUGGAGCUUCAUGGCUUUAUGAUGAAAGGAGACGCCUGCGGAGAGCCUUGCGUCCUAUUAGCUAGUUGGUGAGGUAAUGGCUCACCAAGGCGAAGAUAGGUAGCCGGCCUGAGAGGGUGGACGGCCACAAGGGGACUGAGAUACGGCCGUUACGCCUACGGGAGGAAGCAGUGGAGAAUAUUGGACCAUGGGGGCAACACUGAUCCAGCAAUUCUGUGUGCAAGAAGAAGGUUUUCGGAUUGUAAAGCGCUUUCAGCAGGGAAGAAGUAAGUGACGGUACCUGCAGAAGAAGCGACGGCUAAAUACGUG
rnacentral:rRNA from 1 species